GUGGACGCCAGUCUGCAUGGAGCCGACCUUGAAAUACCACCCUUUAAUGUUUGAUGUUCUAACGUGGACCCGUAAUCCGGGUUGCGGACAGUGUCUGGUGGGUAGUUUGACUGGGGCGGUCUCCUCCUAAAGAGUAACGGAGGAGCACGAAGGUUGGCUAAUCCUGGUCGGACAUCAGGAGGUUAGUGCAAUGGCAUAAGCCAGCUUGACUGCGAGCGUGACGGCGCGAGCAGGUGCGAAAGCAGGUCAUAGUGAUCCGGUGGUUCUGAAUGGAAGGGCCAUCGCUCAACGGAUAAAAGGUACUCCGGGGAUAACAGGCUGAUACCGCCCAAGAGUUCAUAUCGACGGCGGUGUUUGGCACCUCGAUGUCGGCUCAUCACAUCCUGGGGCUGAAGUAGGUCCCAAGGGUAUGGCUGUUCGCCAUUUAAAGUGGUACGCGAGCUGGGUUUAGAACGUCGUGAGACAGUUCGGUCCCUAUCUGCCGUGGGCGCUGGAGAACUGAGGGGGGCUGCUCCUAGUACGAGAGGACCGGAGUGGACGCAUCACUGGUGUUCGGGUUGUCAUGCCAAUGGCACUGCCCGGUAGCUAAAUGCGGAAGAGAUAAGUGCUGA
rnacentral:rRNA from 1 species